AUUGAACGCUGGCGGCAUGCUUUACACAUGCAAGUCGAACGGCAGCGCGGGCUUCGGCCUGGCGGCGAGUGGCGAACGGGUGAGUAAUACAUCGGAACGUGCCCAGUAGUGGGGGAUAGCUCGGCGAAAGCCGGAUUAAUACCGCAUACGACCUGAGGGUGAAAGCUGGGGAUCUUCGGACCUCGCGCUAUUGGAGCGGCCGAUGGCAGAUUAGCUAGUUGGUGGGGUAAAGGCCUACCAAGGCGACGAUCUGUAGCUGGUCUGAGAGGACGACCAGCCACACUGGGACUGAGACACGGCCCAGACUCCUACGGGAGGCAGCAGUGGGGAAUUUUGGACAAUGGGCGAAAGCCUGAUCCAGCAAUGCCGCGUGUGUGAUGAAGGCCUUCGGGUUGUAAAGCACUUUUGGCGGGAACGAAAAGGACUGUGCCAAUACCACGGUUCGAUGACGGUACCCGCAGAAUAAGCACCGGCUAACUACGUG
rnacentral:rRNA from 1 species